GACAGAGGGUGCAAACGUUGUUCGGAAUUACUGGGCGUAAAGGCGUGCGUAGGUGGUGAGUUAAGUCUGUCGUGAAAGCCCCGGGCCUCAACCUGGGAAUGGCGAUGGAUACUGGCUCGCUAGAGUGCGGUAGAGGAGAGUGGAAUUCCCGGUGUAGCAGUGAAAUGCGUAGAGAUCGGGAGGAACAUCAGUUGCGAAGGCGGCUCUCUGGACCAGCACUGACACUGAGGCACGAAAGCGUGGGGAGCAAACAGG
rnacentral:rRNA from 1 species